rnacentral:lncRNA from 1 species
GAGGAGAUAUCACCGGAACAGAAAUAGUACUCUCAAAAGCAGAUGUGUCCUUACCUCUUUUGGGCAGUUGACUAGAGGAUACAUUCGGGUUUCUCCUCUUUGCAAACUCAGCUCGCAUUCUCCGAUUUUCAUUAGCUAGUUUUUCGACCCUUAAAGCCAUCUGUACAACUUCUUUAUGAGGCUCCCGGCCUAUCACAGUCAUCCGCUCUCUGAUCUCGUUAUGAAGCCCUUCUUCAAAAUAACUAGCUUGAUCUUGCUCAAACUUCACCAAGUCUGGCACAUAUGACAUCAGCUCAUUAAAACGAGCCUCGUACUCUUCUAUGGUCAAAUUCCCUUGUUG